UAAUUAAUUAAUUAAUUAAAUUAAAAAAAAAUAUUUUAAUAAAAACAAACAUUAUAUAAAAAAAGAAGAUUUAAAAAUAAUCCCUGCCAAACAUUAAAAAAAAUCCAUGACACCUUUUUUAAUUAUUUGAAUGCACCACUUGAGAAAGUAUUUAUUUAUAUCAUUAUAUUUAUCUCCAUUUUAUAUAUUUAUUUUUUUUCUUUUAAUUUUUUAUUAAAAUUUUAAUUUUAAUUUUUUAUUUUUUUAAUAAUGAUAAAAUUAGUAAUAAUUAUAAUUUAAAUAUAGUAACUCGGCAAAAUUAAUUUUCACCUGUUUAACAAAAACAUGGUUUUUUGAUUUUAAUUUAAAAUCAGGCCUGCCCGUUGAUUUAAAAAAUUGAAAGGCUGCGGUAUUUUAACUGUACGAAGGUAGCAUAAUCACUUGUCUUUUAAUUGAAGGCUAGAAUGAAUGGUUUGAUGAAAAAUUUUCUUUCUUUAUUUAAUUUUUUUGAAUUUAAUUUUUUAAUUAAAAAGUUGAGAUUUUUUUAUAGGACGAGAAGACCCUGUAGAAAUUUAUUUUUUAUAUAAAGUUUUUUUUUUAGUUUUUAAAAUAUUAUUUUAGAAUAAAAAAUUUUGUUGGGGUGACAGUAAAAUUUUUAUGACUUUUAUUUCAUUUUACAUUAAUUUAUGUUUUGAUCCAAUUUUAUUGAUUAAAAGAUUAAUUUACCUCAGGGAUAACAGCGUAAUUUUUUCGGAGAGUUCUUAUCGAUGAACAAGUUUGCGACCUCGAUGUUGAAUUAAGAUUAAUUUUGGGUGCAGUUUUUCAAAGUUUUGGUCUGUUCGACCAUUAAAUUCUUACAUGAUUUGAGUUCAAACCGGUGUGAGCCAGGUUGGUUUCUAUCCUUAUUUUUUUUAUAAUUUAGUACGAAAGGACCAUUUAUAACAAUAAUAAUUGUUUUUUAGAAUA
rnacentral:rRNA from 1 species